rnacentral:rRNA from 1 species
GACGAACGCUGGCGGCGUGCCUAACACAUGCAAGUCGAGCGAGUGGAGUUCUUCGGAACAAAGCUAGCGGCGGACGGGUGAGUAACACGUGGGCAACCUGCCUUGUAGAGGGGAAUAGCCUCCCGAAAGGGAGAUUAAUACCGCAUAAGAUUGUAGCUUCGCAUGAAGUAGCAAUUAAAGGAGUAAUCCGCUAUGAGAUGGGCCCGCGGCGCAUUAGCCAGUUGGUGAGGUAACGGCUCACCAAGGCGACGAUGCGUAGCCGACCUGAGAGGGUGAUCGGCCACAUUGAGACGGAAGAACGGCCCAGACUCCUACGGGAGGCAGCAGUGGGGAAUAUUGCACAAUGGGGGAAACCCUGAGGGAGCAACGCCGCGUGAGUGAUGACGGCCUUCGGGUUGUAAAGCUCUGUCUUCAGGGACGAUAAUGACGGUACAUGAGGAGGAAGCCACGGCUAACUACGUGCCAGCAGCCGCCGUAAAAC